UUCCGUAGGUGAACCUGCGGAAGGAUCAUUAAAGAGUAAGGGUGCUCAGCGCCCGACCUCCAACCCUUUGUUGUUAAAACUACCUUGUUGCUUUGGCGGGACCGCUCGGUCUCGAGCCGCUGGGGAUUCGUCCCAGGCGAGCGCCCGCCAGAGUUAAACCGAACUCUUGUUAUUUAACCGGUCGUCUGAGUUAAAAUUUUGAAUAAAUCAAAACUUUCAACAACGGAUCUCUUGGUUCUCGCAUCGAUGAAGAACGCAGCGAAAUGCGAUAAGUAAUGUGAAUUGCAGAAUUCAGUGAAUCAUCGAAUCUUUGAACGCACAUUGCGCCCCUUGGUAUUCCGAGGGGCAUGCCUGUUCGAGCGUCAUUACACCACUCAAGCUAUGCUUGGUAUUGGGUGCCGUCCUUAGUUGGGCGCGCCUUAAAGACCUCGGCGAGGCCUCACCGGCUUUAGGCGUAGUAGAAUUUAUUCGAACGUCUGUCAAAGGAGAGGACUUCUGCCGACUGAAACCUUUAUUUUUCUAGGUUGACCUCGGAUCAGGUAGGGAUACCCGCUGAACUUAAGCAUAUCAAUAAGCGGAGGAA
rnacentral:rRNA from 1 species